rnacentral:rRNA from 1 species
AGCGAACGCUGGCGGCAGGCCUAACACAUGCAAGUCGAACGGACCCUUCGGGGUUAGUGGCGGACGGGUGAGUAACACGUGGGAACGUGCCUUUAGGUUCGGAAUAGCUCCUGGAAACGGGUGGUAAUGCCGAAUGUGCCCUUCGGGGAAGGAUUUAUUCGCCUUUAGUAGCGGGCCCGGCCGUCUGAUUAGCUUGUUGG